GGCCUGUUGUAGUGAUUCUCAAGUGUCUUUGCCCCAGGCAGAAUUGCACCACCCUUACCAAGGGCCGGGCUGAGUAAUCCACUCGGGUUUGCUCUCAGGAGCUUUUGUUCCCUGAAUGCUUUCCAUAGAGUUCUGGAGGACGGGAAUACAAAUGGCGGCCUCCUGGUCUCUCGCCCUGAGGAACUGAGAACUCAGGGCCCCACUCCUCAGUGCACCCGCAGAGAACAGCGCCCAGUUACUCCCAUCUGCCUGACUUCCGGCCACGCUCCGAGCUCACCGAGCCUGCAAACCGUUCAAGACUUAAGACCACAUGAAGACAUAGCAAGAAGAUGACAUCUGCAAACCAGAAAGAAACCGACUGCACCAAAACCCAUGCCUGCUGGCAUCUUGAUCUUGGAAUCCUAGUCUCCAGUACUGUGAGAAAAUAAAAGUAUAUUGUUUAAACCACCCAAACUAUGGUGUUUUGUUAGGGCAGACCAAGCUUUUAUAUGACUUUACCUAAUUCUCAGCUUUAGUCAUAUAGUACUAUGUGUUACUAGAAAGUCACAUAAGGAGACCUGUUUCUUAUGCAAUUUCAUCUUACUAGUGAACCCAGUAUUAAGUAUUAAAAACAGCUAUCCCAACAUCCAUGUUCUUUGAACUGUGAUAGUCAGGUCACUUGCUUCCUUAACAGAGCCUUUAUAAAUAAUAUCCACCAACCUAUUGGGAUCAUCCUACUUUUUCCAGAUCAUUGCAAGAUUUAGUUACAAGAUAGGUGGAGAUGCAGAAUAUAUAUCCCCAUGCCUACUCUAAAUAGGAUGGCAGUGAAGGGAAACAAUCACAAAGAACAACCAGUAUUUAAAAGCCAGUGAUCUAAGAGGUCAAUGGUGACACACAACUAAUUAAUCACUGUCUUAUCUGAAUAAUGUCUCUGCAUGUUUCUAGAGGUUCACACUUGGGCUCAACUACCCACAUGGCAUCCGGAACUUGGGUCAGGUUCUGGGACCACUCUAGGAUUGAUGUCACUUCUGAUGACACUACCCAAAAUGCUUUCACUACCCAAAAUGCUCCUCUACCAACUCUCAUUCAUACUUCAUGAUGAAACUCAACUUCCCCCCUUCCAAGAGGGCCUCUCUGACUCCCCAAACCUGAGUUAGAUAUAGAAUUAUUGAAUUGGAAGUGCCCUUAGAGCUUUCUGUUCCAAAGCACAUUAUGUUACAAUUAUAGAAACUAAGGCAGGUAAGGUCAUUGGCAUAGGACUAGGACUCUUAGACAACCUUUUUUACACAACACAUCAAAAUACUGAUGUCUAAAAUAGUUUUUCAAAUGCAGUUAAAAUAAGGAAGGGGAAUAGUUUGUAAGUAAGUGCUGAGCACUGAGGAUAUGGAGGAGAAAUGGCUCCAGUGAUUCUUCUAAAGUCAUGGCCUAGACAAGUUGUGAACAAAUAUAUUGGGGGCGUUACAGUAAGAACUUGAUCUGAAGAUACUGCCACAGCCCAUGGACUGGCAUACAGUAGGCCUUCAGGAGAAGGGUGGUGGAUGAAUUUGCUAAUAUCUAUAAUAUAACUGAAGUAUACACCACUUAUUUUAAGGCAAAGGAAAAAUGACUCUAAUAUCUUUUUUUUUCUAAGAUUUUAUUUAUUUAUUUGACAGAGAGAGGGAACACAGGAAAGUGGUAUGGGAGAGGGAAAAGUAAGCUUCCCGCUGAGCAGGAAGUCCCAUAUGGGGCUCCAUCCAACGACCUUGGGGUGAUGACCAGAGCCAAUGGCAGAUGCUUAACAGCCUGAGCCCCCUGGGUGCCCCCUAAUACCUUAUUAUUUCAAGUAAAAACUCCUUAAUUUUAGUAUAAUUUUGAGGAGCUAUGCUUUGGAGUUCUAAAGUAAAACAGUAGCUAUACUUUGCUUGUGAGGAGGACAUUAAUCUGGAGUGAUCAAAGGGGAGAAUGUUAUGUGCUGAUUGUGUCCCCCCCCCCCCCAAUUCCUAUGUAGAAGCCUCAUCCUCAAUGCCUUAGAAUAUGUGACUGUAUUUGGAGUUAAGGUCUCUAAAGAGUUAAUUAAGUUGAAAUGGGGCCAUUAGGGUGAGCCCUGAAUCUGUUAUGACUGGUAUCUUUAGAGGAGGAAAUUUGGACCCAACGUGUACCCGAACAGGAGGAAGACCAUGUGAAGACAAAAGGAGAAGAUAGCUAUCUGCAAGCCAAGGAGGGAGGCCUCAAAAGAAAUCAAGCCAGCACCUUGAUCUUGGACUUUUAGCCUCUAGAAUUGUGAGACAGUACAUUUCUACUGUUUAAAUCCCCUAGUCUAUGGUACUUACUUUAUGGAAACCUAGCCAACUCCUGAAGUAGAAAACACAUACCUUGAGAUAAAAGGAUUUUCCAGCAAGGUACAGUGACAAGCUUUCAACUCUGACUAGUUGAGACUUUGUAGUUCUAAUCUUAUGCAAAUAUCUGUCAUGCUGACCUCUCUACACCUAUAAAGGAAAAUUUCUUAUUGUCUUUAUGAAUAUGAGAUGCUACUCCUCCAAUGGGGAAUAAUUAUUUCUGAGAUAUCUAAUCUUAAUAAGCUAACGAGAACAUCUAAAAUGGGGACACGAUCUCUGUUCUACAUUCACAGAAACAUGGAGUGUUAAUUUUUACUCCAGGUAAGAUUUUUGAGACUAAUUUGCCAUCUAAGGCCAUGCACUUGAUUCAAAAACAUUUGUUGAUCAAUAAGAGGAAAAACAAAAAUGACUGUUUCUUCUUGGUUUUGUAUUUGUAAACAUGAAAUGAUAAAAAAUAAUGUUGAGAGUG